rnacentral:rRNA from 1 species
UACAUGUGGGGCAAGCGUUGUUCGGAAUUACUGGGCGUAAAGGGCCAGUAGGCGGCCAACUAAGUCCGACGUGAAAUCCCCAGGCUUAACCUGGGAACUGCGUCGGAUACUGGAUGGCUUGAAUUCGGGAGAGGGAUGCAGAAUUCCAGGUGUAGCGGUGAAAUGCGUAGAUAUCUGGAAGAAUACCGAUAACGAAGGCGGCAUCCUGGACCGACAUUGACGCUGAACGGCGAAAGCUAGGGGAGCAAACGGG